rnacentral:rRNA from 1 species
GCCCAGCCGUAAACAAUUAAAUUACACCUAAAAUCGCCAGGGAACUACGAGCAAAGCUUAAAACCCAAAGGAUUUGACGGUGUCCCAUCCACCUAGAGGAGCCUGUCCUAUAAUCGAUAAUCCCCGUUAUACCUCACCAUUUCUUGCUUCCCAGUCUGUAUACCGCCGUCGAAAGCUCACCCUGUGAAAGAUUAGAGUCAGCUAAAUGGCCCUUCGCCAACACGUCAGGUCAAGGUGCAACUAACGAAAUGGGAAGAGAUGGGCUACAAUUUCUAACAUAGAACAUACGGAAUAUCAGGUGAAACCCCUGGCAUGAAGGAGGAUUUAGUAGUAAAAAGAAAAUAGAGUGUUCUUUUUAACCCGGCCCUGGGACGCGUACACACCGCCCGUCACCCCCCUCGAUAGCAUAUUAACAAGUAUAUAACAAGCCAUCCGCGCCUUAGAGGGGGCAAGUCGUAACAUGGUAAGUGUACUGGAAAGUGCACUUGGUCUAUCAAGAAGUAGCUUAAAUAAAGCCCCCCGUUUACACCGGUAAAAUGCCUGUUAAAAUCAGGCCAUCUUGAGCCCCAAAUCUAGCCCCACCUAACUAACCCUGCACCUAAAGAACAAACAAAACAUUUUUAAGUUGUAGUAGAGGCGAUCAAAAGAUCACUAAGAGCUUCAGAUAAAGUACCGCAAGGGAAUGAUGAAAUAGUAAUGAAAUAAUCACAAAGCUUUUAACAGCAGAGAUAUGCCCUCG